rnacentral:rRNA from 1 species
GACGAACGCUGGCGGCGUGCUUAACACAUGCAAGUCGAACGGAAAGGCCCUGCUUUUGUGGGGUGCUCGAGUGGCGAACGGGUGAGUAACACGUGAGUAACCUGCCCUUGACUUUGGGAUAACUUAAGGAAACUGGGGCUAAUACCGGAUAGGAGCUCCUGCUGCAUGGUGGGGGUUGGAUAGUUUCGGCGGUUGGGGAUGGACUCGCGGCUCAUCAGCUUGUUGGUGGGGUAGUGUCUUAGCAAGGCUUUGACGGGUAGCCGGGCUGAGAGGGUGACCGGACAAACUACAAUGGAGCUGAGACACGGCCCCGACUGGUACGCAGGAGAGGAGAGGAGAAUACAGGACGCGGAGGGAUAGUGUGACCACGCAGCGUGGGGGGAGUGAGCCAGCGCGUAGUGUUGUAAAUCUCUUUUAGCCGGAGUGAGAAUGACAGUACCGGGUGAAUAAGCACCGGCUAACUACGUG